UUUUGCCUGCGGUGCUCGUGAUAUGGAGAUUGCAUUCGCCGCAUAUUACACUUACGGGACUCCAACAUCAAUUUGCAUGAUAUCGGUCUUAAGUUUACGCUUUUGAUUAAUAGAUUGUAGAGUGAGGAGACCCACCUUGGUAAACCAGGGUAGAAUCUAUACUCUAUCAACCACGGCAUUGCGGGUUUUUU
rnacentral:other from 5 species